CUUCCAGUAGCACCUUAGAGACCAACUAAGUUUGUUAUUGGUAUGAGCUUUCAGGUAUCUGAAGAAGUGUGCAUGCACACGAAAGCUGAUACCAAUAACCAACUUAGUUAGUCUCUAAGGUGCUACUGGAAG